rnacentral:misc_RNA from 1 species
GAUGAAGAACGUAGCGAAUUGCGAUAAGUAAUGUGAAUUGCAGAUUUUCAGUGAAUCAUCGAAUCUUUGAACGCACAUUGCGCCCCCUGGUAUUCCGGGGGGCAUGCCUGUCCGAGCGUCAUUACAACCCUCAAGCUCAGCUUGGUGUUGGGCCCCGCCGCCCCGGCGGGCCCUAAAGUCAGUGGCGGUGCCGUCCGGCUCCGAGCGUAGUAAUUCUUCUCGCUCUGGAGGUCCGGUCGUGUGCUCGCCAGCAACCCCCAAUUUUUUCAGGUUGACCUCGGAUCAGGUAGGGAUACCCGCUGAACUUAAGCAUAUCAAUAAGCGGAGGA